rfam:Gossypium arboreum cultivar AKA8401 contig_3204_11, whole genome shotgun sequence.
UAUUAAAAAUUUCAUUAUUUGUAUUGAUAAAAACUGGUUUGGUCAAUAAAAUAAUCGAACAAUGACACAUAGCAUGCUAUAUAUACCUCAUACUGAUGUACAAUGAUCAAUUUUUAAUAUUAAAAAUGAAUGAAAUUUUUAAUA